CGUGUCCUUUUUUUUGUCAUCAAAUAGAUGCCUCUUGACAGGUUCCGAAGUUUAAUUAUGUUCUACAUUAAAUAUCUAGUUCUUAUUCCCUAUUACAUAGUCUCUAAAACAAGGCUCGCCGAGUAGGCAGUAAAAGAUGUUCACUUGAAGGUGUUUGCUCACUGUUUCUUACACUAUCAAAGAAUACAAGGCGUAAAAUUGAAUAAAUUUACUGUUAAUAUUGUCUUAGCUUGCUUUUCUCGGGUAAUAUAUGUGACGAAAACAUGGCGCAUUAGGAGCUACCGCGCCUUGUAAUGUGUUCGAACACGCAUAUUUGCAUCCGCAAAAAUCACAAUAAACAUCUAAUUUUUUCUAAGCUAGCGUAAUAGUAUCAUAUGGAAUUUUCCGAGUCGACUUGUAGCGGUCAGCGGCAUCAGAACCUAGAGGUGGAGCUGAAUUUGCUCAGUCAUCUCGUUUCCACUAUGAUGGUCGCUCAUCAGGUCACUUCAAGAUACAAUUAUUUCGUAAUUAUUCAAGCAAAUCAUGCUUCGGAUUUCUGGGCAGAGCCUGUUGUAGAGUGCGGCCCCGAUGCUACCGUACGCCCCUUGUGCUUGAUUGACCGUGGCAAGUUUUAACAACGCAAGUUUUUACAACAACCGUUUCAACUUCGGGACGUUGAUGGUCGUUAAUGCGAACGAAAAUAACUAUAGUCGUCUAGUUUAAAUCAAUUUAACUGGCUAAAAGAAGGUUUAAAGGAAAAUACCAUAAAAGGCAACGUUUUAUGCUUAUUUCAAUGUACGGCGUGCUUUCGAAACGUCUAGUUUUGUUAGCACGUCUACGUCGAGAACGCUAACUGACUGCCGUCUUAGCGAAUCGAGCUGCUCACAUCACGGAAGAUAAUUGGCCGUGGCAUUGUGACGUCUUUCAUCAGUAUGGCUGAACACUGACGUUUCCCGAGUGCGUAACUGAAAGUAAUUAAGGUUUCCUGUCUUAUUGGGCCCGAUUUAAUACCCACCGCGCUUUUAGCCGUUGCCAGGGACUGCGCUCGACUGUGUGUGUAUGCUUAUAGGUGGUUAUGACCCGGACACGUUAUGGUCAAGAUUCGUAUCUGGGCAUAGGCACAGGGUUCGGUUCGUGCUGAUGGAACAACUAACGGCGAUGAUGGACGUAAAAUUCGAAAUAUAAAGAGGUGGUUACGGCCCAAACAACGAUAUAAGCACUUUUAAAAUGGCGCGCAGUUUGUGAAUGGUAGCCAUUAUUCUGUUUCGAAAGAUCUUAAACUUUUCCAAUGCUCAACCCCCAAGUGCCACAGUUAGCUUUCAGGGGCUGAAAGGCGUAGGGUUUAACAUCAGCGUACGUAUACAACAAGAGAUAUGAACCACCCUGAAGCCGUUACUCGAUGCCACGUUUAGAUUCCUCCCUUACCUCCAAGGUUUGUUUCCAUAUUUAAUAUACGCUUAUCAAUUUCUUAAUGUGUUCCAAGCUUUUAUAAACGUACGAAGCAGUCUAAGGGGAAAUGGGGUCGUAGCCCUUAGCUAUCCAGAAUUCGAAAUUUAACACGAAAGCCAUUGACAUUCCUCAUUCCUACCGCGCCUUUAGAAACACCCGACGGUGAUGGGUUUACUGUUAAGGUUAACUGAAAUAUAAUGCCGUAAAAAGCCACACUUAAUUGGGCACCGGGUUUAGAUGGAGUUUUGUAGUUUGCUCGCUCAGAACUGUAUACAAAUGAAUUAGCUAGCUCGGAUUCAUUUGUACUGGCGUGUGCCAAUUUCUUUUUUUUGCACUUGAUCUGUGUAUAAGGUUUUCUUUCUUUGUUCUAUAUAAAAUACCAGUGACCGACUGACGCCUCAAACCUUUCUCAUAUCAAAACUUAUUAAACAGGUAUAAGUAGUAUUUAAAUUGAGCAUUCUACAGCCACAUUAAAAAACCUCGAUAGAGGGCGCGUCGGUUAGAGUUACUUCAUCUCUAUAAAUCAAGUGCCGUAUACUAUUAGUACUAAAGCCGUCCACAUUCGUAUGCCAAUUAAUCUUUGGCUACGCUUACAUCUGUAGACAAGAGAAAUCUGUCCAUAUGGUGCCAUCGUUAAUGAGCCUAGGAAGCAUUAACUAAGCUGGGGCAAACUUGUUAGCUUUGCACGAGCCUAGCAUGACGCAAUUAAUACUGCUCUAGGUCGAAAUGCCAAACGCGCCGACUUUCAAACUAUUAUUUGACCUGACGGCACGCAGAGGUGUAAUAGGGGGCUUCCAGGUCGAUUUACCAAUAGGAAGUGAAACUACUUGCCUAGGAUGCGAUAUUGUGGAAUACGCACAUCGUUAAAUUACUUGGGUUAGCAUUAGAAAAUGUUGCAUAAGCAUUUCAGUGAGUCAAAUGCAAACA
rnacentral:lncRNA from 1 species